rnacentral:rRNA from 1 species
UGGCGGGGCGGGUGCUAUACAUGCAAGUCGAGCGGACAGAUGGGAGCUUGCUCCCUGAUGUUAGCGGCGGACGGGUGAGUAACACGUGGGUAACCUGCCUGUAAGACUGGGAUAACUCCGGGAAACCGGGGCUAAUACCGGAUGGUUGUUUGAACCGCAUGGUUCAAACAUAAAAGGUGGCUUCGGCUACCACUUACAGAUGGACCCGCGGCGCAUUAGCUAGUUGGUGAGGUAAUGGCUCACCAAGGCAACGAUGCGUAGCCGACCUGAGAGGGUGAUCGGCCACACUGGGACUGAGACACGGCCCAGACUCCUACGGGAGGCAGCAGUAGGGAAUCUUCCGCAAUGGACGAAAGUCUGACGGAGCAACGCCGCGUGAGUGAUGAAGGUUUUCGGAUCGUAAAGCUCUGUUGUUAGGGAAGAACAAGUACCGUUCGAAUAGGGCGGUACCUUGACGGUACCUAACCAGAAAGCCACGGCUAACUACGUGCCAGCAGCCGCGGUAAUACGUAGGUGGCAAGCGUUGUCCGGAAUUAUUGGGCGUAAAGGGCUCGCAGGCGGUUUCUUAAGUCUGAUGUG